UACGAAGGGGGCUAGCGUUGUUCGGAAUUACUGGGCGUAAAGCGCACGUAGGCGGACAUUUAAGUCAGGGGUGAAAUCCCGGGGCUCAACCCCGGAACUGCCUUUGAUACUGGGUGUCUGGAGUGUGGAAGAGGUGAGUGGAAUUCCGAGUGUAGAGGUGAAAUUCGUAGAUAUUCGGAGGAACACCAGUGGCGAAGGCGGCUCACUGGUCCAUUACUGACGCUGAGGUGCGAAAGCGUGGGGAGCAAACAGG
rnacentral:rRNA from 1 species